GAUGAACGCUGGCUACAGGCUUAACACAUGCAAGUCGAGGGGAAACGACGGGGAAGCUUGCUUCCCCGGGCGUCGACCGGCGCACGGGUGAGUAACGCGUAUCCAACCUGCCUCUGACUGAGGGAUAACCCGUCGAAAGUCGGCCUAAUACCUCAUGGCAUCGUCUGCGGGCAUCCAACGACGAUUAAAGAUUUCAUCGGUCAGGGAUGGGGAUGCGUCUGAUUAGCUUGUUGGCGGGGUAACGGCCCACCAAGGCUACGAUCAGUAGGGGUUCUGAGAGGAAGGGCCCCCACAUUGGAACUGAGACACGGUCCAAACUCCUACGGGAGGGAGCAGUGAGGAAUAUUGGGCAAUGGGCGGGAGCCUGAACCAGCCAAGUAGCGUGCAGGAGGACGGCCAUAUGGGUUGUAAACUGCUUUUAGGCGGGGAUAAAGUGAGGGACGUGUCCUUCAUUGCAGGUACCGCAUGAAUAAGGACCGGCUAAUUCCGUG
rnacentral:rRNA from 1 species